rnacentral:rRNA from 1 species
UACGUAGGGGGCAAGCGUUGUCCGGAUUUAUUGGGCGUAAAGGGCGCGUAGGCGGUUUCUUAAGUUUGAAGUGACAGUGGGUGGCUUAACUACCCAAGGCCUUUGAAAACUGGGGAACUUGAGGACCAGAGAGGGACACAGAAUUCCUGGUGUAGCGGUGAAAUGCGCAGAUAUCAGGAGGAACACCGGUGGCGAAGGCGCCACUCUGGGCCGAAACUGACGCUGAGGAGCGAAAGCGUGGGUAGCAAACAGG